UGGGGAAUAUUGCACAAUGGGGGAAACCCUGAUGCAGCGACGCCGCGUGAGUGAUGAAGUAUUUCGGUAUGUAAAGCUCUAUCAGCAGGGAAGAUAAUGACGGUACCUGACUAAGAAGCACCGGCUAAAUACGUGCCAGCAGCCGCGGUAAUACGUAUGGUGCAAGCGUUAUCCGGAUUUACUGGGUGUAAAGGGUGCGUAGGUGGCAAGGCAAGUCUGAAGUGAAAAUCCGGGGCUCAACCCCGGAACUGCUUUGGAAACUGUUUAGCUGGAGUACAGGAGAGGUAAGUGGAAUUCCUAGUGUAGCGGUGAAAUGCGUAGAUAUUAGGAGGAACACCAGUGGCGAAGGCGACUUACUGGACUGCUACUGACACUGAGGCACGAAAGCGUGGGGAGCAAACAGG
rnacentral:rRNA from 1 species